AAUGGGAUAGCUGAGUCAAAUGGUUCUAUUCCAAGUUUUCUAAGGAAUUUCCAUACUGUUUUCCAUAUUGGCUGCACCAAUUUGCAGUCCCACCAGCAAU
rnacentral:pre_miRNA from 1 species